GACGAACGCUGGCGGCGUGCUUAACACAUGCAAGUCGAACGGAAAGGCCCGGCUUUUGUGGGGUGCUCGAGUGGCGAACGGGUGAGUAACACGUGAGUAACCUGCCCUUGGCUUUGGGAUAACUUCAGGAAACUGGGGCUGAUACCGGAUAGGAACUCCGGCUGCAUGGUGGGGGUUGGAAAGUUUGGGCGGUUGGGGAUGGACUCUAGGCUUAUCAGCUUGUUGGUGGGGUAGUGGCUUACCAAGGCUUUGACGGGUAGCCGGCCUGAGAGGGUGACCGGCCAGAGUGGGAGUGAGCUACGGACCAGACUACUAAGGGAGGCAGCAGUGGGGAAUAAUGCAUAAUGGGCGGAAGCCUGAUGCAGCAACGCCGCGUGAGGGAUGAUGGCCUUCGGGUUGUAAACCGCUUUCGCCUGUGACGAAGGGUGAGUGACGGUAAUGGGUAAAGAAGCACCGGCUAACUACGUG
rnacentral:rRNA from 1 species